rnacentral:sRNA from 1 species
AUCCGUGCUGCUCCCUGCCUUUGAGGGAAGAGGAGGCCUCACACCACAUCCCCAGGUGGCCACGUGGCCCCAACUCCACUGACCCAGGAUCAGGAGAGGCUGAGCUCCUUUCUCAGCAGCUUCUUCCUAUGGCCCCAGCCUCCGUGCCCUCUUCCCUCCAGGGGGGACUCGGUGACUGCCUGGGGAGGAAGGAGAGGCGUCGCAGGCGUCCGAGCUGGGCCACAGCCUGAACGAGAACGUCCUCAAGCCUGCGCAGGAGAAGGUGAAGGAGGGAAAGAUUUUUGAUGAUGUGUCCAGUGGGGUCUCUCAGUUGGCGUCCAAGGUAGGGAGCCUGCCAGAUACGCGGGCACAGUCGAAGCCAGUCUCCAUAUUCCACGGCCCUGGGCGUGAGAGCAGGGUGUGCCCCGUGCAGCCCUCAGCCCAGCUUGGCAGUGGCCGCUGUCCUCUGAGACGGGAGGAGAGCUGCCCAGCCUGACAGCCCGAGGGAUAUGGAAACAGCUUGGCCCACUGCGGCCCGGUCAGCCACUAACUGUCACUUCUCCCUCUGCUCUUAUCUUG